UUGUAAUGUAAUGCCUACAACUUUCAUGCACCAUAUCCCAUUAGAAAUCUGCAGUUAAGCGUUCUUGGGCCAUAGUAGUACUAGGAUGGAUGACCUCUCGGGAAGUCCUAGUGUUUUACAUG
rnacentral:rRNA from 1 species